rnacentral:rRNA from 1 species
CCUACGGGUGGCAGCAGUGAGGAAUAUUGGUCAAUGGACGAGAGUCUGAACCAGCCAAGUAGCGUGAAGGAUGACUGCCCUAUGGGUUGUAAACUUCUUUUGUCAAGGGACAAAAUCAGGCUCGAGAGCCUGACCGAGGGUACUUGAAGAAAAAGCAUCGGCUAACUCCGUGCCAGCAGCCGCGGUAAUACGGAGGAUGCGAGCGUUAUCCGGAUUUAUUGGGUUUAAAGGGUGCGUAGGCGGACUGUUAAGUCAGUGGUAAAAGCCCGGGGCUCAACCCCGGCGAGCCGUUGAAACUGGCUGUCUUGAGAUGUCGAGAGGUAUGCGGAAUGCGCAGUGUAGCGGUGAAAUGCUUAGAUAUUGCGCAGAACUCCGAUUGCGAAGGCAGCAUACCGGCGGCGAUCUGACGCUGAGGCACGAAAGCGUGGGUAUCGAACAGGAUUAGAUACCCGAGUAGUC